UACAGAGGUCUCAAGCGUUGUUCGGAUUCAUUGGGCGUAAAGGGUGCGUAGGCGGCGCGGUAAGUCGGGUGUGAAAUCUCGGAGCUUAACUCCGAAACUGCAUUCGAUACUGCCGUGCUUGAGGACUGGAGAGGAGACUGGAAUUUACGGUGUAGCGGUGAAAUGCGUAGAUAUCGUAAGGAAGACCAGUGGCGAAGGCGGGUCGUCGUGGACAGUUCCUGACGCUGAGGCACGAAGGCCAGGGGAGCAAACGGG
rnacentral:rRNA from 1 species